GUCAGGAUGGCCGAGCGGUCAAAAGGCGCCAGAUUUAGCUCAGGCGCUAGAUUUAUGCUAUGGUUCUCGAAAGAGAGCGUGGGUUCGAACCCCACUCCUGACA